GGCCUUACAUACGAUGUCAUUUGCAUACUGAACAAAUUUCACAGCAAUUCCUCAGUAUUAUCAAAUAUCUAGUCUUAUUCAAUUUUCCUGAUUUUCACAAAAACAUCCUUUUUGUAGAUGGUUUACUUCAGUUAAUUUCAAAGUCCACCCAUUGUAUUUGGUUGCUAGGUCUGUUACAUUUAUUUUAUGUAUUUGCCAGGCCAAUCAGUCUUCUCUCCCCCCACCCCCAAUCUGUCUCUUGUUUACCGCCUUAUAAAACUUCAAAGUUGCUAAGAGACCAGAUUUUUUUGUUUGUGUGUGUGUGUGUGUUUUAAGAUUUUAUUUAUUCACUUGCCAGAGAGAGAGACAGAGCACGAGCAUGGAGAGAAGCAGGCAGAGUGAGAGGGAAAAGCAGGCUCCCUGCUGAGCAAGGAGCCCAAAACAGGACUUGAUCCCAGGAUCCCGGGAUUAUGACCUGAGCCGAAGGCAGCCACCCAACCAACUCAGCCACCCAGGCAUCCCUCUAAGAGACCAGAUCUUAAUUGUUCUCACCACAAAAAAGAAAUGAUAAUUACAAGAUAUGAUAAAGGCAUUAGCUAACACUAUAGUGGUAAUCAUACAGUAAUAUAUAAAUGUAUCAAAUCAACACCUUAAACUUACACAGUGUUAUUUGCCAAUUGUAUUUCAAUUAAAAAAACACACAGUAGAGUUCCAUGUAUGGACUUAUCUGUUUGCUUGCUCAUGGCUGUUUGGGGGAGGUGAGCCGUGAAUUGAUCGGCAGGGCCAACGACCAAUGGAAACGUGCAGCGGCGCCAGGGGCCCCAGAUGGCGAGGAGGAGCGGGAAGGGACGGCGCCCAAUCAGCCACGGAGCCGCUGGGCCUGGCUGGGGCGCCGUGAGGUUAUUGGGCAACUCUAGCCCCGGCGGCUGGGAUUAGCUGCGUUCGUUAGACUAGGUCGAAGGUGGACAGCCCGGGCAACAGCCAAUCUCCGGCUCCUUGCCCCGAGCUCCCCGGGUCCCGGGCCCUCUCUCAGCGCAUGCUCUGGACUGGUUCGAAGCGGUGGUGGGGCAGGGAGCAGGUCUGUUCCCACGUUCCCGAGGUUCCCACGCCUUGGAGACCCCGCAGGGCUAUGCCGCUCCAGUGGUCGGGUCAGCGCCCCCUGCCGCUGCACCUCCAGUAGCCAUUCUCGGUAAUCAGCGCUUAAAGGAACAAAGCAGGAAAACUCCAGAAACAGCACCCUCUCGUAAAUCCAAACCCUUCUGUUAGUUUCUCCCACGCCCCAGCGUGGCCUCCAAAUAACUCUUUAACCAGACUCACUGGCAGAUAAAUGACUUUGACUACUUGUAGUUACGAGCGGAAACUUUGGGCAAAAGAAAAUGAGGUAGGGCCUCGGCGAUUUUGGGGGAAAGGAGGAUUCAGUCAGGAUGUCAGAGUGGGCCUCACAAUGAAGGCUACCUGCUUGCUGGAAAACCACAGCUCAAGAUCAUGUUGCCACUUUCUGUGACGGUGAGUCAGUGUACACUUGUUGCCAAGGUAAACUAUUUUGCCCCCCCCCCAA
rnacentral:lncRNA from 1 species